GAUGAACGCUGGCGGCGUGCCUAAUACAUGCAAGUCGAGCGAACAGACGAGGAGCUUGCUCCUCUGACGUUAGCGGCGGAAGGGUGAGUAACACGUGGAUAACCUACCUAUAAGACUGGGACAACUUCGGGAAACUGGAGCCAAUACCGGCUAAUAUAUUGAACCGCAUGGUUUAAUAAUGAAAGCCGGUUUUGCUGUCACUUAUAGAUUGAUCCGCGCCGCAUUAGCUAGUUGGUAAGGUAACGGAUUACCAAGGCAACGAUGCGUAGCCGACCGGGGAGGGUGAUCGGCCACACUGGAACUGAGACAGGGUCCCUACUCCUGCGGGAGGCUGCAGUAGGGAACCUGCCGCAAUGGGCGAAAGCCUGACGGAGCAGCGCCGCGUGAGUGAUGAAGGUCUUCGGAUCGUAAUACUCUGUUAUUAGUGAAGAACAAAUGUGUAAGUAACUAUGCACGUAUUGACGGUACCUAAUCAGAAAGCCACGGCUAACUACGUG
rnacentral:rRNA from 1 species